CCUACGGGUGGCAGCAGUGAGGAAUAUUGGUCAAUGGACGCAAGUCUGAACCAGCCAUGCCGCGUGCAGGAAGACGGCUCUAUGAGUUGUAAACUGCUUUUGUACGAGGAUAAACCCAGAUACGCGUAUCUGUCUGCAAGUAUCGUACGAAUAAGGAUCGGCUAACUCCGUGCCAGCAGCCGCGGUAAUACGGAGGAUUCAAGCGUUAUCCGGAUUUAUUGGGUUUAAAGGGUGCGUAGGCGGGCGGAUAAGUUAGUGGUGAAAUGCCGAGGCUCAACCUUGUAAUUGCCUUUGAUACUGGUAGGCUAGAGAGUAGUUGAGGUAGGCGGAAUGUGUGGUGUAGCGGUGAAAUGCUUAGAGAUCAUGAAGAACACCGAUUGCGAAGGCAGCUUACCAAGCUACUACUGACGUUGAGGCACGAAAGCGUGGGGAGCAAACAGGAUUAGAUACCCUUGUAGUC
rnacentral:rRNA from 1 species